rnacentral:rRNA from 1 species
GACGAACGCUGGCGGCGUGCUUAACACAUGCAAGUCGAACGGAAAGGCCCUGCUUUUGUGGGGUGCUCGAGUGUCGAACGGGUGAGUAACACGUGAGUAACCUGCCCUUGACUUUGGGAUAACUUCAGGAAACUGGGGCUAAUACCGGAUAGGAGCUCCUGCUGCAUGGUGGGGGUUGGAUAGUUUCGGCGGUUGGGGAUGGACUCGCGGCUUAUCAGCUUGUUGGUGGGGUAGUGGCUUACCAAGGCUUUGACGGGUAGCCGGCCUGAGAGGGUGACCGGCCACAUUGGGACUGAGAUACGGCACAGACUCCUACGGGAGGCAGCAGUGGGGAAUAUUGCAAAAUGGGCGGAAGCCUGAUGCAGCAACGCCGCGUGCGGGAUGACGGCCUUCGGGUUGUAAACCGCUUUCGCCUGUGACGAAGCGUGAGUGACGGUAAUGGGUAAAGAAGCACCGGCUAACUACGUG